CCAAGUCCACGCUGGGACGCCCGGGAGGAGUUCAGGGUUCAAGUGCGCGCCUGGGUCUGUGCACAUCUUCCCCUUCCUCGGCCUCCCUGGAGGGAAGACCGUAGAAGCUUUAUCAUAGGGCCUAGUGUCAUGAUCAUAUAUUUACUCCAUAAAUACCUGUGAGGGAAGAAAGCUAAUGGAACUUGAGAGCAGGUGAAAUGGAAGGCUAUGUGCAAGUUCUAAGGGAAUAAAGUUUGUUUUC
rnacentral:lncRNA from 1 species